rnacentral:rRNA from 1 species
UACGUAGGGGGCAAGCGUUGUCCGGAAUCAUUGGGCGUAAAGAGCGUGUAGGCGGUCCGGUAAGUCUGCUGUGAAAGUCGGGGGCUCAACCCUCGAAUGCCGGUGGAUACUGUCGGGCUAGAGUGCGGAAGAGGCGAGUGGAAUUCCUGGUGUAGCGGUGAAAUGCGCAGAUAUCAGGAGGAACACCUAUUGCGAAGGCAGCUCGCUGGGACGUAACUGACGCUGAGACGCGAAAGCGUGGGGAGCAAACAGG